UCAGUCAAGCCUCUUCUCUGGUCUGCCACAUUCUGUCCGUGAUCUCUUCCAACUUCAGAAAGCUAAGAAACCCACAGAAGAGGAGCACAAUGAAGGGCUGGCUGCUGUGGAUCUGGAAGUGUCCUCCAACUCUCGAGCUUGUGGUUUAUUGUCACCCCCAUCUGCACAUCUGGCUACUGUCAGUCCUGAUGCUAACAGAGGCGAGUGUUCCAGGAAAUGGAACGGCCUGCAUUCUCCUAUUGGUGGACAGUCAAGGUUGAACCUCAGUAUAGAGGUCCCAUCACCGUCCCAGAUUGACCAGUCUGUUUUAGAAGCGCUCCCACCUGAUAUCCGGGAACAAGUAGAACAAGCUUAUGCUGCUCAACAAGGAGAGCCGCGUGGCUCUAAGAAGAAAGAACCAGUAAAUGGCUGCAGUUCAGGGGUAUUGCCACAUCCUGUUGGCACAGUUUUGUUACAAAUACCAGAGCCUCAAGAACCUAAUAACAGUGACACCAGAAUCAGCGUGAUUGCCCUUCCAGCGUUCUCACAAGUACGCUCAUGUCAGGGACUGCUCCCCUCACCUGUCCUCUCCUCACACUUCUCUCCUGGGGCCUGCUCAUCUGCAGUGGCUGGCCACUUGACCCUGUUCAUAAAGUAGGCAACUCAGCACCAGAGGGAAGAGACAUGCAAGGAGGGCAUGGUGUGUCAGUCCCUAGAGCAGAAGAUGCUUUGCUGACUAUGGGU
rnacentral:lncRNA from 1 species